CAUCAGUGAAGGGUGAUCUGGGGCGCCGUGGGGGGCUAGGUUGGGGUGCCUGGGGGCCGGCGGGGAGACUCCCAGCGGCCCCCUGGUGCCUUAUGCGGCUUGGGGUGUGGUCGUCCUCCCUGGGCGGGCUGCUCCUGGUGCUGCAUCCGUUCCGGGUCCUUCUGGCCUGGGGUCGGGCCCCUGCUGGCUCUGGGCUCGCCGGCGGGUGCCCACUGGCUGCCUGUUCGGCGCGGUUCUGGUCGUCUGCUGGGUGUGGGCUUCGGCUCCUCCGCUGGGGCCUCGGGCAGGGAGUUCUCUGGGCCCUCCCCUCGGGGGGUUAGGCGCGGGGGUGGGGUGGGGGGGUGGGGGGGUCGAUGGGGUGGGGGGUCUGGGGGUUGGGGGUGGGAUCGGUGGCGUGGUGCGCUGGGUCCUUGGCUCCUUGGGGCUUUCUCGGGUGUGUAUGGGGGGGCGAUGGCUGCCUCUCGGCUUGGGAUCUUGGGGGCGUUCGGGGGACUGCUUGGCCGUGGGGUGGUCGCCGGGGGCCCUUAGGCUGCCUGCUCUUGCUGCUGGCCUGACUGCUUCUUCGGGCCCGGGGGCGGCUCUUGGGUUUUGCAGUGGCGGUACUUGGAAAUACAUUUGUCAUGGAUGCACUGGCCUUGGGCUGUGGGAUAACACUCAUACUGGGCUCAACCUUAGACACGUUGUUCCCAAAUACCUGUUUUAUGGAAUUUCCACUCACCUCUUCCUCUGUUCACAGCCACCACCAUUAUUCCUAAACCACACACUGGUCACCAAACUGGCUUGACAACACAACAAUAAACACAAUAUACACAACCACAAUUUCACAUCGCAUCACUUAAAACUAUUCCUCACCCAUUCCAUAUCCUAUCUUGUAUCCCUCUUCCCUGCUAACUUCCCCACCCCCCUCCAACCCCUCACCUUGGUGUAACACUGCCCUCUCUUUUUUACAUCCUCCCUUUAAUAAAGUAUUUCUUACCCUUCCCUAGGGAGGGCUGGUGACG
rnacentral:lncRNA from 1 species